rnacentral:rRNA from 1 species
GACGAACGCUGGCGGCGUGCUUAACACAUGCAAGUCGAGCGGUAAGGCCCUUUCGGGGGUACACGAGCGGCGAACGGGUGAGUAACACGUGGGUGACCUGCCCUCAGCUCUGGGAUAAGCCUGGGAAACCGGGUCUAAUACUGGAUAUGACUCCAUGACGCAUGUUGUGGGGUGGAAAGCCUUGUGCGGCUGAGGAUGGGCCCGCGGCCUAUCAGCUUGUUGGUGGGGGGAUGGCCUACCAA